AUUAUUGGAGGCAGAGAAAUGGAGGACAAUCAGUCCCUGAAUUCCGGAAGUCCAUGACCUGAUGACCUCUGAACCAACUUGACAGACACCACUUUCCCAUACCUCAACCUGCUACAGAGAGAAAAUUGCAGUUCUCUUCACACAAGCAGAGGAGCCUCUGUGGCAUCGUGAUUUAUUCCUGCACUCUGUCCUCAAAGAAACCAGCUGUAUCUAGCUCCCACUUCCAGUGUGGAAGCAAGAAAAGUAAUGUAUUCUUCAGUUAAAGUUCAAAGCCACUGAGAAAGAGGCAGAAUCAGAGGAAGGACUCCAUAAGGAUACGGUGGAAGGAGAUUUAUAACAGGAGUUUAGGAUCAUAGACUAUGUAAGUUAGGAGACCUCUUAGAGGCCAAUGAGCAUUUUAAAAAUUUUAUAGAUGCAUGUAUUUAUAACCGAGGAUCAGCAUUUUCAAAGAUCACAGUUGUUGGUUCAGUUAUGUUAAUUGCAUGUUGUUCGCAGUGACUCAGACUCAGAAUUCUACUCAAACACAGUAGUUGGCAGGAUGGAAGGCCCAAGUAAUUACUACAUUAAGUCAUCAUAGCAGACCCAUAGAAGGUUUGCCUUCCACACCAGAACAGUAAAGACAUGCUGAAAAGAUGAGGCCGCUACAGAAGACGCUAUUCAAGUGGCUAAAGAUCUGAUUGUGAAAAAUAAAUGUGUUUGAACAAUGCACAAAGUUGCUCCCAGUGGAGUGGAGGAAAACUUUUGUGGAUGAUAAGGUUUUUUAAGACCAGAUAUUAUUUCUUCUGGAGGGACCCCUUCCUUGAAGACAAUUUUAGCUGCUAGCUGGUCCAACAGUCUGGGUGAAUUUGCUCUUCCCGUCGGUUCUUCUUUGUGCAGAGAAGCCAAGCAGCCUUUGACCUGGGACAACACAGCCAGCUUCCUUCCCCGGGCCACACUCUCCUGCUAACCUGCAUUGGGAGUGUUCUCUGCAGAGCUUUCAACUCCCUGUUGGCAGAGCCGAAGGAGCACAUGGGCUCCAGCAGGAGGAACGGCAGCCUCCAUGGUUGCCUCUCAGCCGCCCCUCCUUUCCACUCCUCUCACAGCUCAAAGCUCCACCACAGAAUUAAAAACAUAGCUCGAGGCACCACGCAGAGCUUUAUGAGGAAGCACAGACAUUCACUCUUGCUCUAAACCCAGGGCGUGUGCUUGAAAUUGUUGUCACCUGAAAAUUAAGAAAGGAAAUGUGAAAUACCUGGAGACAAAGAGCUGUAGAGAGCUGGAAUUCACACAUGGAUAUUUCUGAUCCAAAGAGCAAGGACUAGGAAGUGUCCAGCAGUGUUUUGGUUCUUCUGCGCUCGAUAUCCUGAAUCCUACUACAAGCUCACAAGAGGGAUAGAGAGAUAUGUAAUGUCCAUUUCACAGAUGAGAAACCUGAGAUCCAAAGCCAUCAAGCAGUAAGUAAUGAAGCCGACUCUAAAAUGUAGGCCUCUUUGAUUCCACAUCCCCUCAUAAUUCCAUGUCUCCUACAUCUAUAUAGGACCACGAUGAAAGGAAGCAUUUGUACCAAUUGGUCAUUCAUUUUCCGGGUAAACAGAUGGAAAGACAAUUCAGAGUCCCCAUUUCAUAGUUGGUUUAUCUUUCCUUAAACCAGUCGUCCCUCUACUUCUCUCCAUGUGGCUGAUUCAACCAGCUCAGAAACCCAAAGAGCUUCCAGUUGCCAAGCCAUCUGAGAAACACUUCAUCAGCCUGCAACUUCAGGCCUGCCAAGUACAAUUCUAGCGCACACUCCCAAAACUCAGAACCACAACUCUUCAUGGCUCCCACCAAACAAUUCCACACACCGAACCUGGGUUCCCAUUUGCAUUAAUAUCAUCAGUGUGAAAUUAUUCUAAAUACUUAUUUUCUAUCAUCAAAGGAAUGGUAAGUUGGUCAAGACAAGGCCCAUGCCCACAUCAUGUCGACUGUUCUCAUGACGCCAUUUUGUAGUACAUAGCCAACAGUUUGAAAUGAGUAGACUUAGGAUUGAUUUCUAUAAAAAUACACAAUUCAAAGCAAAAUAUAAGUGCUCAAUCCUUAGACUAGAGCAAUCUAGUUGCUGUUGCUUUUUUAUGAGUCUAUGUUCUGAAUGCAAAGUUUAAAAAUCAGUUUGAAGUGUUCCCUGUUUGUUUAAAGGGGAAUGGGAGAGAUCCUUUAUUAAUAUUGAGAUCUACAUGAAAUCAUGUUAGAGAAAUGCCCAGGAAGGAAGUGGCUGUAUCUUUGCAGGUAGCUUGUCUCUGACUCUGUUGCGAAAGCAUUUUGCUACAGAUGCUGGCAUGCCCAUCUACGGGGAAGCUUUCUAUGCCAAGAGGUUGCCAGGUGGAGAGAGAAGGUAAGUCUUGCAAAGCUACCAAGAAAAAUGCCACACCAUGAAGGACACAUUUGGAGGCAACUCCCUCUAUUAUGAAUUGAAACAUUUGGCAAAUCACAAGAGCCUCUGAUUUGUGUAUGCUUGUGUCUCCCCUUGUAAAAGGAAGUAACUUUUGAGUGCCCCAAAUAACCAAGUUUCAACAUGUACAGAGUACCUUGGUUUAAAAAAAAAAAAAAAAAAGCCUCUUCUGAGAAAAGCAUUUUUCUGACUCUCAUCUGUUCCCAUUUCCGCUCAAGAGAGAGUCAGGGUAGAAGGCCUGGAAUACGUACACAGGCAAUUAGAACCAGAGCUCCACAAACUCUGGCCCAGCUCCCCAUGGCCCUGGUGGAAACAGCCAGGAUUGUGUAGAAAGGUGGUUUGUAGAGAUGGUUCUGAGACAAAUCAAGAAUCCAAGUUUUCUCUCCCAACACUUUCCUAUGGAUCAUGCUCUUGAGGCUAAAAAGAUGUUCACUCUCCUCACAUUGGAGGAGUUUGAAAUAGAAAUUUCAAGGAAUUAUAUGUGAUGCACUAUUUUAUUUUUUCCUUUAGUUUAUUGAUGAUCUUUCAUACCACAAGUUAUAUAGACAAAGCAAAAAUGCCCUUCUCUAAGUUCUACAUGCAAAUACAGUCCACAAUUAACCUUUUUCCUCCUGCUAUUGGUCAAUGGGAGUCAUUGAAAUGAUUCUGUGAGAUUCAGAUGCUCCAUGGCUUAUCUUCUAAAUAGCAGAGGUAAAAUUCACACAACAAAAAGGCCAUGCUUCAUGUAGGUACACUGCUGCAAUAAAAGAAGUUGCGGAGUUCAGAGGAUGCAGAUGUGGGCUUAGAUCUCAGUGCUCAUAUUCCUCCAUGACAUUACAGAAAUCCCUUUAACCGAAUUGAGCAGACCAUUGUAGGGCUGUGUGUGGAAUGCCUGGAACCACUAGAGUAGAUUUAAAAUGCUUCACCAAGCACAACUCGGAAAAGCAAGUCAGCAGAAAAGGAAUUUCUGAAUUCUUUUGCACUCCUGGUAGCUUCUUUUGCUCUGACCAAAACCUGCCAAAUCAGAAAUUGGGAGGGUGUAGGGGGAGGCUUAAGAAGGAAAGUGAUGUGAAAUACCAAACUAUGUACAAAGUCAGGAAGUUUCAUACAUUUCCUGAAAUAGAACUGAUUCACCUACAUUCCACAGUUUUUAUUUGCUUUGGGGUAAGUAAGAUAAAGUUUACUUUUUUUUUUCUCAAGUUGUUCUUGUUUUUUAAUUUAUCUUCAUGUGGCAAAAGUAUUGCUUUGCAUAUACAUGGGUUUGGAAUUUUAUGAUUUUGCCUUUAUUGGUGAUUUCUCUUUGUCACAGAGUUUUGCGUCUCCAACCCAGGCCCAGAGCAACAGCAUCAAUAAAUGCUGCGAUCCUUCCUUUCUUGCCCAAUCCUAGUAGCUUUUAUCUCAGCGUGGCAGACUUUGAAUACAUGAGUGAGAACAAUCAACCAUAUUUCUACAUUCCAUCCAGAGAUCCACUCCACAGAUGAUCACCUGUCACCCCUCAGGCCCAGUAUAUGUGCAUCAGCAACUCAGUAAGCUCUUGGAGGGACAGACUCAUUGAAGAAGCUCAUACAAGCCCUGAAAACAGGGGCAGGGCCAUUUGGACAGGGAACUUCAGGAUGUCAGGUAUUCAGCAUGGUAUGGAACAAUGCUUGAUAAGCAUUAAAGUGCAUUCGAUUCACCCUGGCCCUUGCAUAAAUUCUGAUUCAGUCAGUCUGGAGUAGAACUGGUGGCUCUGGACUUUAUACUUCUAACAAGUUCCUCCUGCUACCAGUUCUAAGAACAAGUAGCUGGCAAGGGAGUAGUGUGGGUGCUGGGUCAACGAACCACUUGGUCACUGAGGGCUAGCUCCUCACACUAUAGGGAUGAGCACAAUUAGAAAAUGAUCAAAGAAGGGCUGUCUGAAGUGUGGGCCCAGGCAUAGGUCUUGGUUGACUAAUGAAAGGCAUGAUGGUUGUUACCUGAUUGUAAACUUAGAAUCUACACAGGACAGGUUUCUAGCACUGAAUUACUGUUUCAGGCAAAAUUCAAAGGCUUUAAUUCAUACAACUUCCCUAAUCUACAGUAAAAUUAUCAAAUAAAAUUUGUUUCAUUAUUAAAGCACACUGAGGUUUGCUUGAUGAUUAUUUAAGUAUUUAAAAUGGUAUCAAUAUUUGUCUUAUAGUUAGUCCUUCUAUAUGCAUGGUAUGCAUUUGUAUAUCUGGGUAUGUACCCUGCUUUAUUUUAAAAAGCAACAACAACUACAACAAACACCUACUUCCUUCAACCACUCCUCAAUUGACAAGGUUCAAAUCCCUUCUCCAGCCAGGUUCCCCUCUUCUGAACAUGUUCUAGUUUUCUGAAGUCCUUAUUAAAGUAUGUGACCAAGCAAGGAAAACAAUACUCUAACAGCGAUCCAGUCAUUGUGGAGUAUGCCAUGACGACCUCCCCCUUCCUUUUAGAGGCUGCAUGUGUGCUAAGCCAGCCAACAACAACACUAGCUGUGCUGGUGAAUUAAGACACUGCCAACACACUUCGUGUUCACCAUCAAACACAUUUUCAAAUGUCUUUUUAAAAAAUACUAUCAAAUAUAAUGGAUUAUACAACAAAGGAUGUAAAAUAGGAACUGCAGGAAAAAGUUUUAAGUCUUUGUCACACCUACUGCUGCUAAACUAUAUCAUGAAGAGUUGAUUUUCAAACUGAGAUUCGGAGAAAUUAAGCAAGGAAAAUAUAGCUCAUAGUUAAAUUCCACAUUUGGCACCUGAUCUUUCAUAAAGAAGCUUUUGAUCAAAAACUAAAGGUAGAACAAACAAACCCUCCCAAUGACUUAUUUAGGCUAAAUGCUCAAGGCAAACGCAAGAGGAAUUGCAUGUGUAAUAUCUUAGUAAGACAGGCACUGAGUUGCCAGCUCAUCAGCAAGUGUGCCUCCACAUAGUUCUUAAAUUAAGGGAGAUAAAACCCCAAAUGAGUUUUUAAAAAUCUACCCUGGUCAAAGUUUAAGAAAUGGCUCAUGUGUUUUAAAAAAUGCAUCUUUUAAAAAUGAAAUAAAAUAAAUCACCUUUUCACAACAUAAUUUAGUAGGAGAACAUUUAGAGUCUAGCAAAUUAAUUCUAUUUACAUUGUAAAUAGAGACUAUUAAGAGCCAAAGAGAAAAUUUGAGCAUGACCUUUUCUUAAUCCUGCCUCAUGACCAGUAUAGCAGCAUGUACCACUGGGAACUAACUUCUGAUCAUUUAAAUUAAAGGUAUUUGGGUACAAAUGAAGACUUCUUCAACCACAUCCCCACAUAUAUUCCCUACAGACAGCAAAGAAGAAAUGAGUCUUAGAAUAUCAAAGAGGCAUCUUCAUAAUAGUCUGAAUGGGAAAUAAACCAAGCGCUCCUUUGCAAGCUCUCUUUUGCAAUCUGAGUAGUGGGUAACAGAGUUUAUGUUGACUAAAGUUCUGAAUACUAUGCAAAAAUGAAUUCUUAUUUAAAGGCUUAGAGUUAUUAUUUAGCAACAAUAUCAUCCAUUCAUUCAUUCAAAUGUAUGCUGAGUGGAAUUUUAUGUUAAAAAAAGAUCUUCCAUAGGCAGUGUUCAUUGGAGAUGAAAAAGGAAAUUUUUCUGCAUUCAGGGUGCUCACAGUCUACUAGGAAGAUAUGUGUUCUAAGACAGGAGGAGAAAACCACAAGAAGCAAAGUCUGUAUUACAGAUGGGGAGACUCCUUGUGAGUCUUCAGAAUUAGUUAAUCACUAAAGAAGUGACAAUUUCAUUGGAAAAUCAAAAUUUAAUAAGAAGUGGGUAUUGAAACACUAGGCAAAAGUUAUGCUAAUAGAAGGACAUAUGGGAAAGUGUUGGAGUUUUUCUACAUCUCACCCUAGGCAGAGUGAAUAAUGAGUGUCACUCUUUUAAAAAAAAAAAAAAAAAAAGAUUUUAAUUAUUUGAGAGGUAGAGUUACAGGCAGUGAGAAGGAGAGACAGACAGAAAGGUCUUCACUCCCCAAAUGCCUGCAAAGGCCAGAGCUGCAUCCACCCGAAGCCAGGAACCAGGAACUUCCUCCUGGUCUCCCACAUGGGUGCAGAGGCCCAAGCACUCA